rnacentral:rRNA from 1 species
CGCGUCGUGGUAUUUCGCGUAUUGUAAUUUCAACACGAGCGGGGUCAAAUCCUUUGCAGACGACUUAGCUGUGCGAAACGGUCCUGUAAGCAGUAUAGUAGCCUUGUUGUUACGAUCUGCUGAGGGUAAGCCGUCCUUCGCCUCGAUUU